CUUUUCCUGCUCACGUGUUGGUGGCGGACGGUGACCAAGCUCGCAUCUGCGCGCUGCCCUGGAGAUCCUCAUCGGGCUCCUGGGCCUCGUGUUGUGUUGAGCUUCAUGUCAAAGCCUCCCCUAUCAUUCCGGCAUCUGCAGGACGCUCAUCCCAGCAAGAGAGAAGAAAGAAAGGUUUGAACAUAAAAGAGAGAAAGAAAGAAGGACGGAUGUUUUUCAUCCUACAGCAGACCGCAAGCUCUAAAGCAGGAAGUGCAGAAUGGAGGCAGUGAGUGUUGAUGGCCUUGAGUGAUAAAGUGCCACCACACCCUCCGGUUAUGUUACUGUCCCCUGGCACCAAAUAGCCCGGGGAUUUUCGAAGUGUGACAUAACUAGAAGAGUAAAAAAAAAAAGAUCAAGAAUGUUUGUGGAAUUUUUCUUUCCAAGCACUCAUGGUGUUUCCUAUUUACUUGAAUAACACUGGUU